GACGAACGCUGGCGGCGUGCUUAACACAUGCCAGUCGAACGGGAUGAUUUAGAAGCUUGCUUUUAGAGAAUCUAGUGGCAAACGGGUGAGUAACACGUAGGCAACCUGCCGACAGGAUGGGGACAACAUUCCGAAAGGAAUGCUAAUACCGAAUGAAGCGCAGGAGAGGCAUCUCUCCUGCGUGAAAGAUGGCCUCUAUUUAUAAGCUAUCACCUGUCGAUGGGCCUGCGUCUGAUUAGCUGGUUGGUGAGGUAACGGCUCACCAAGGCGACGAUCAGUAGCCGGUCUGAGAGGAUGAACGGCCACAUUGGGACUGAGACACGGCCCAGACUCCUACGGGAGGCAGCAGUGGGGAAUCUUCCGCAAUGGGCGCAAGCCUGACGGAGCAACGCCGCGUGAGUGAAGAAGGUCUUCGGAUCGUAAAGCUCUGUUGAUGGGGACGAACGUGCGAAGGGUGAAUAAACCUUUGUAAUGACGGUACCUGUCGAGGAAGCCACGGCUAACUACGUG
rnacentral:rRNA from 1 species